ensembl:lncRNA
AUGGCGCCACCGCUCCCAGUGCCUCCCAGUUGCUCCCAGUCCAUCCCAGUAUGGCCCAGUAUGGCUCCCAGUCCAUCCCAGUAUGGCCCAGUAUGGCUCCCAGUUGCUCCCAGUAUGGCUCCCAGUUGCUCCCAGUAUGGCCCAGUAUGGCUCCCAGUUGCUCCCAGUUGGUCCCAGUAUGGCCCAGUUGCUCCCAGUAUGGCCCAGUAUGGCCCCAGUAUGGCCCAGUCCAUCCCAGUAUGGCUCCCAGUAUGGCCCAGUCCAUCCCAGUAUGGCUCCCAGUUGCUCCCAGUUGCUCCCAGUCCAUCCCAGUAUGGCUCCCAGUUGUUCCCAGUCCAUCCCAGUAUGGCCCAGUAUGGCUCCCAGUGCCUCCCAGUCCAUCCCAGUAUGGCUCCCAGUGCCUCCCAGUCCAUCCCAGUAUGGCCCAGUAUGCCUCCCAGUUGCUCCCAGUUGCUCCCAGUAUGGCCCANACUUUCACUUUCACUUUCUCAUUCGCCUUCACUUCCUCAUUCCCUUCUAUUUCCACUUCCCUCGCUUUCAUGUCCGCUUCCGCUCCCACUUUUACUUUCACUUUCACACUUUCACUUCCUCUACAUUCACGCCCACUUCCACUUCUGCUCCCAUUCCCAUUUUUACUUUCACUUUCACUUUCUCACUCACCUUCACUUCCUCAUUCACUUCUACUUCCACUUCCCUUACUUCCAUCUCUGCUUCCGCUCCCACUUUUACUUUCACUUUCACACUUUCAGUUUCACUUCCUCUACAUUCACGCCCACUUCCGCUCUCAUUCCCAUUUUUACUUUCACUUUCACUUUCUCACUCACCUUCCUCAUUCACUUCUACUUCCACUUCCCUCACUUUCAUGCCCGCUUCCGCUCCCACUUUUACUUUCACUUUCUCACUUUCACUUCCUCUACAUUCACGCCCACUUCCACUUCUGCUCCCAUUCCCAUUUUUACUUUCACUUUCACUUUCUCAUUCGCCUUCACUUCCUCAUUCCCUUCUAUUUCCACUUCCCUCACUCUCAGGUCCGCUUCCGCUCCCACUUUUACUUUCACUUUCACACUUCCAGUUUCACUUCCUGUACAUUCACGCCCACUUCCGCUCUCAUUCCCAUUUUUACUUUCGCUUUCACUUUCUCAUUCGCCUUCACUUCCUCGUUCCCUUCUAUUUCCACUUCCCUCACUUUCAGGUCCGCUUCCGCUCCCACUUUUACUUUCACUUUCUCACUUUCACUUCCUCUACAUUCACGCCCACUUCUGCUCCCAUUCCCAUUUUUACUUUCACUUUCACUUUCUCAUUCGCCUUCACUUCCUUGUUCACUUCUAUUUCCACUUCCCUUACAUGUCCGCUUCCGCUCCCACUUUUGCUUUCACUUUCUCACUUUCACUUUCCGCACAUUCACACCCACUUCCGCUUUCAAUCCCAUUUUUACUUUCACUUUCACUUUCUCAUUCGCCUUCACUUCCUCAUUCCCUUCUAUUUCCACUUCCCUCACAUACAUGCCCGCUUCCGCUCCCACUUUUACUUUCACUUUCUCACUUUCAGUUUCGCUUUCUCUACGUUCAUGCCUGCUUCCGCUUUUGCUCCCAUUUUUACUUUCACUUUCACUUUCUCACUCACCUUCACUUCCUCAUUCCCUUCUAUUUCCACUUCCCUUACUUUCAGGUCCGCUUCCGCUCCCACUUUUACUUUCACUUUCUCACUUUCACUUUCACUUCCUCUACAUUCACGCCCACUUCCGCUUCCACCCCCCUUCCCAUUUUUACUUUCACUUUCACUUUCUCAUUCGCCUUCACUUCCUCAUUCACUUCCACUUCCCUCACUCUCAGGUCCGCUUCCGCUCCCACUUUUACUUUCACUUUCUCAGUUUCACUUUCCCUACAUUCACGCCCACUUCCGCUUCCGCUCCCAUUCCCAUUUUUACUUUCACUUUCACUUUCUCACUUUCACUUCUUCUCCAUUCACAUCCACUUCCGCUUCCGCUCCCAUUCCCAUUUUUACUUUCACUUUCACUUUCUCACUCGCCUUCACUUCCUCAUUCACUUCCACUUCCCUCACUCU